AUGAACGCUGGCGGCGUGCCUAAUACAUGCAAGUCGAGCGAACAGAUGAGGAGCUUGCUCCUCUGACGUUAGCGGCGGACGGGUGAGUAACACGUGGAUAACCUACCUAUAAGACUGGGAUAACUUCGGGAAACCGGAGCUAAUACCGGAUAAUAUAUUGAACCGCAUGGUUCAAUAGUGAAAGACGGUUUUGCUGUCACCUAUAGAUGGAUCCGCGCCGCAUUAGCUAGUUGGUAAGGUAACGGCUUACCAAGGCAACGAUGCGUAGCCGACCUGAGAGGGUGAUCGGCCACACUGGAACUGAGACACGGUCCAGACUCCUACGGGAGGCAGCAGUAGGGAAUCUUCCGCAAUAGGCGAAAGCCUGACGGAGCAACGCCGCGUGAGUGAUGAAGGUCUUCGGAUCGUAAAACUCUGUUAUUAGGGAAGAACAAAUGUGUAAGUAACUAUGCACGUCUUGACGGUACCUAAUCAGAAAGCCACGGCUAACUACGUG
rnacentral:rRNA from 1 species